AUAGCGUAUAUUAAAGUUGUUGUGGUUAAAAAGCUCGUAGUUGAACCUUGGGCCUGGCUGGCCGGUCCCCCUCACCGGGUGCACUGAUCCAGCCGGGUCUUUCCCGCUGUGGAACCCCAUGGCCUUCACUGGUCGUGGCGGGGAAACAGGACUUUUACUUUGAAAAAAUUAGAGUGCUCCAGGCAGGCCUAUGCUCGAAUACAUUAGCAUGGAAUAAUAAAAUAGGACGCGUGGUUUUAUUUUGUUGUUUUCUAGGACCGCCGUAAUGAUUAAUAGGGAUAGUCGGGGGCAUCCGUAUUCAAUUGUCAGAGGUGAAAUUCUUGGAUUUAUUGAAGACGAACUACUG
rnacentral:rRNA from 1 species